GGGCCAUUAGCUCAGCUGGCUAGAGCGCUUCCAUGGCAUGGAAGAGGUCAUCGGUUCAAGUCCGAUAUGGUCCA
rnacentral:tRNA from 1 species